GGGCUGUUAGCUCAGUUGGUAGAGCAGUGGACUUUUAAUCCAACGGUCCAGGGUUCGAAUCCCUGACGGCCCACCG
rnacentral:tRNA from 1 species